CAUUCGACAUUUUCAAAAUUUGAAGUUAGAAAAGUAUGUAUAAUUAUUAUAAAUAUAUUUUAAAUUACUUAAUAUAUUUUAUAUCGUUAUCUAGAUUCUAUAAUUGCAGUGCUCCACUCGACAUUUUCAUAGAAGAAUAGAACUUUUAGAAGUGAACAAUAAUACCAAACAGAUUUAACAACAUCAUAUUUGGUAUUGGCACCUCAACAACCUCAACUGGUAUGAAACAAAAAUCAAUUAAGAAUUUCUUCAAGAAAUCAGUGCCAGUGAUUCCUGAGGUGGUGGAACUUAAGCAUCUUUGUGAUCGUGUUCGUGUAUUGGAAACUAGUGCUUUAACCUCAAAGCAAUCUAAAUCUCAAGAAGAUGACUAUCAUGUAUUGGAAACUGCUUUAACCUCUAAACAAUCUAAAUCUCAAGAAGAUGACUAUCAUG